UACGGAGGGAGCUAGCGUUAUUCGGAAUUAUCUGGGCGUAAAGCGCACGUAGGCGGCUUUGUAAGUCAGAGGUGAAAGCCUGGAGCUCAACUCCAGAACUGCCUUUGAGACUGCAUCGCUUGAAUCCAGGAGAGGUGAGUGGAAUUCCGAGUGUAGAGGUGAAAUUCGAUAGAUAUUCGGAAGAACACCAGUGGCGAAGGCGGCUCACUGGACUGGUAUUGACGCUGAGGUGGCGAAAGCGUGGGAGCAACAGG
rnacentral:rRNA from 1 species